rfam:Physcomitrella patens subsp. patens PHYPAscaffold_124 genomic scaffold, whole genome shotgun sequence.
GCUGGAAUAGCUCAGUUGGUUAGAGCGUGUGGCUGUUAACCACAAGGUCGGAGGUUAGACCCCUCCUUCUAGCG